rnacentral:rRNA from 1 species
UGCGUAGGCGGUCUUUUAAGUCAGGAGUGAAAGGCUACGGCUCAACCGUAGUAAGCUCUUGAAACUGGAGGACUUGAGUGCAGGAGAGGAGAGUGGAAUUCCUAGUGUAGCGGUGAAAUGCGUAGAUAUUAGGAGGAACACCAGUAGCGAAGGCGGCUCUCUGGACUGUAACUGACGUUGAGGCACGAAAGCGUGGGGAGCAAACA